CUGACCGCUGGCGGCGUGCCUAAUACAUGCAAGUCGAGCGAACAGAUGAGGAGCUUGCUCCUCUGACGUUAGCGGCGGACGGGUGAGUAACACGUGGAUAACCUACCUAUAAGACUGGGAUAACUUCGGGAAACCGGAGCUAAUACCGGAUAAUAUAUUGAACCGCAUGGUUCAAUAGUGAAAGACGGUUUUGCUGUCACUUAUAGAUGGAUCCGCGCCGCAUUAGCUAGUUGGUAAGGUAACGGCUUACCAAGGCAACGAUGCGUAGCCGACCUGAGAGGGUGAUCGGCCACACUGGAACUGAGACACGGUCCAGACUCCUACGGGAGGCAGCAGUAGGGAAUCUUCCGCAAUGGGCGAAAGCCUGACGUAGCAACGCCGCGUGAGUGAUGAAGGUCUUCGGAUCGUAAAACUCUGUUAUUAUGGAAGAACAAAUGUGUAAGUAACUAUGCACGUCUUGACGGUACCUAAUCAGAAAGCCACGGCUAACUACGUG
rnacentral:rRNA from 1 species